GUAUUUUACAAAAUGCUAGAUUUAUAAUGUAGCUACAUCGAUUCGUUCAAACACUGAUUCAAUCGGGAAUGAAACCAAUGAGGUGCUUUGCGAGUGAAUCACUGAAUCAUUGACUCAACCGAUUCGUUCACAUACACUGAUUCACCCGGGAACCAAACACCAGCGCACUGGCUUUGUUUGGAAUUAUUUUUCUUGGCGGAGCAAAUUUCCAAAAACUAACUGAAACAUUGUGUCAAACAUGUUUGUGGGUCACCACAAUUUCGAUGGUUUAUUCAAAUCAUACCAAGAGGUCAAGGUUUAGCUAGUUCGCCCCUGCUGGGAUGUGCCAUAACUACACCAUUGUGGAGCCAAAUCCACAAACAAAGCCUAACAACACGUCUGCAAUGAUCAUGGACCUCUGAUGUUGAUUAAUCUUUUCUCUUGACUUUGGAGCCUGACUGUUGCAAGAAGAAACCCCACCAGCCCCAAAGACAUAUUCCCUCAAUUUAACAGCAGACCAAGGUGUUUCUCCAGCAUCAUCGGAUCAAUGAAAACCCCAGGGACGAUGCUGAUUGCCAAAGAUUGGACAAGCUAACAAGCACAUGAUGAGGAACCAGUUGGUUCUUCUUGCUUUCUCUCAGUUUUCGGAGGUCUUUGGGACAGGCACACACAAAAGGGAAGCUGAUCCGUGGAUGUAUUCUGUCAUUCUUUUGGAGGCUGCUUUUUCUUCCUUGUUUUGACUUGGUUCAACUUGACAGGGUGCUUUUAAGGAUAUUGUGGGGUCUAAAAAUGAGUGGAAUACCAGGAAAUCAAUGAAAGGAUGUAUUCAUGGAUCGGAGCUGGUGGACUAAAUUUUAACUCCCUUUCAGUUCAAGUCACUGACUCAUUUAUCAGAGUCUUCCAUCAUAGAGGUGGCCUAUUGAGAUCGGCACACUUUGGUUUUUCCGUUACAUGUGGGUGAGUCUUAACGUUUUCUUUGGAUCCAUCUUAUCCCAUAUAUGAUUAGCGAUUGGUGAGAGACACAGAGAGGGAGGGACAAUUCAAACACCCAACUCACCCUGUAGUCUAAAAAAAGUAUGGUUCUAGUGGAAUUUUCCAACAUAAAACAAAUAAAUAAAUGCUAAAUUAAGCACUGCACUCGUAUGAAAAUUCUUGAAAAAAAUGAAUACUUAUGUUCAGGAAGGAAUAAUAGAAAUGAACCAAAAGAUGUCAAAUAAAUGUUGU